GAUGAACGCUGGCGGCGUGCCUAAUACAUGCAAGUCGAGCGAACAGACGAGGAGCUUGCUCCUCUGACGUUAGCGGCGGACGGGUGAGUAACACGUGGAUAACCUACCUAUACGACUGGGAUAACUUCGGGAAACCGGAGCUAAUACCGGAUAAUAUAUUGAACCGCAUGGUUCAAUAGUGAAAGACGGUUUUGCUGUCACUUAUAGCUGGAUCCGCGCCGCAUUAGCUAGUUGGUAAGGUAACGGCUUACCAAGGCAACGACGCGUAGCCGACCUGAGAGGGUGAACGGCCACACGGGAAGUGAGACACGGUCCGGACUCCGACGGGAGGCAGCAGUAGGGAAUCUUCCGCAAUGGGCGAAAGCCUGACGGAGCAACGCCGCGGGAGGGAUGAAGGUCUUCGGAUCGUAAAACUCUGUUAGUAGGGAAGAACAAAUGUGUAAGUAACUAUGCACGUCUUGACGGUACCUAAUCAGAAAGCCACGGCUAACUACGUG
rnacentral:rRNA from 1 species